rnacentral:lncRNA from 1 species
CGGGUUCCCGCCAAUCAGGUUUGGGGGUCUCCUAGGUGAACAGGUCACACUUUUGGACGGUACAGGGGGCCAGAAACAAUUAAGAAAAUGAUACUCAAGAACAACAUACCAAGAUGUUCGUAUGUUCUAACCCACUCCUCCCACACCCACUCAACAAGAGUCUAACUCGCCUUUGUGGAUUUUGCACGAUGCCCUAGAGGUCAGAAAACUUGGAUUCUGGAACCUGAAUGUUAUAAGCUUGGGCCCUCUUCAGUCCUUCUUAUCUUAAUUGCUUGUGGCUUACAAUUAAUGGCGCAGUGGACCAGCCUUCCAGGUGUUUUCUUCUCCCCAUCUGUGUGCCUCUGCCUCCUACUCUCCAGAGGUGCUUCAAGGAGCUGCGAUUCCAGACUAUAUCAUCAGGCUUAGAUGGAUGCAGCAUUUAUUGGAGAUCCUCAUGAUCUGACUGGAGAGGAUGACAGAAGCUGGGGUCAUCUGGCAUGAGGGAAUUUUCGUUGAAGAAUGACCUCCAUCAGACCAGCCUGUUGGUGUGUCUGUAAAGCAUUGUCUUGAUUAAUGACUGAUAGGGGAGGACCCAGCUCACAGUCGGGGGUGCCAUCAUGGAGCAGAUGGUCCUGGGGUAAGAAAGCCAUGGAGAGCAACUCAACAAACAGGAUUGUCCCGAGGAUUCUGCCUCAUUUCCUGCGUAGGCUU